AUUUUUCUUUCUCAAAAACCCUAUUUCAGACAAACAAACGUUUAUUAAAAAAUCUCAAUUUGUUCCUUCAUUUCAGAAAAACAAAAGCAAUUUAGAGCUCUCUCUAUUUAAUCGAUUAACAACAAAAGUGAAGAACAAUCUCUUAAUCAAUUAGCGAUUUAGAUCUCUCUGUGUUUAAUCAAUUAACAACAACAAUGAAGAACAAUCUCUCAAUUGAUUAGCCUGCUCUCAAUCUCUAAAAUGGAGAAGAAUAAUGGAUCCAUUUAGAGCUCUCAAUCUUCCUUCAACAGCAAUCUCGACAAAAGUGUAAGGAAAGAAGUUGCAUAAACUUAUCAAAUUGCAGGACAACUCUAUGAACUUGAUGGAGGAGGUCCGAACCAAUUUCAUCUAUUCAUCUACUACUCUAAGUAGACUAUUGCAGGUUUCUCAUCCUUAUGUACAUGCUUUUGAGAACUAAUAGUUGCUUAAAGGAAAAAAAAGACAGUUCAAACAUAAGAGUUUUUGCAGCCAUAGAAGGAGAGAGAUUUUUUCUAAAUCAAUAUUUUUUCAAGAAGGGUAGCUACAGAAUUUUUCAUAGCUAAUUCUAGUCAAGAUUGAGGGCACAGAAGCAGUUGUGAAUUUGGCGUAAUUCCUUUACAACUUUGAUCAUAUUCAAUGUGCAUUCGUCAGGAGAAGAGACUGCUAUUCAACCAAUAAAUCGUCCAUCUAUUGGUAGUAACAAUCAAGGUGUCCAAAAAGAAGAAAGUGAUGAAGACAUUGACCUUCCUUGAGAAGAUUUUUCGGUUGUGAAUAAAUGCUCUAAUAUCAAUAGUUUUGUGUUGAAUUUCUUGAAACUUAUAGCGACUCGAACUUGCUACUAUGUAAAAAUUUAACUAAUCAUUUGAAAUUGAUUACAUUUUUCUUUUGAGUUUAAAUUACUAGCUUGUCUCAUAUUUUGAAUUAUGAGAUUAUUAAUGAAUGAUUUUGUUUUGUGAUGUGUA